CUCAGUAACAUUUUACAGAAUGCUACAAAAUACACAUAUAUACUAACUUAAAAGAUAAAAUACUGUAUUUUCACUGUUGCCAGCAAGAGAGCAUAUCUUUUCUUUUGCUGCUAAAAAUCAACUGCAUCUUUAAAAAAGUCAUU